AUUAGGGUUACAGUAAUCGGGAUUAGGGUAACAGUAAUCGGGAUUAGGGUUACAGUAAUCGGGAUUAGGGUUACAGUAAUCGGGAUUUGGGUAACAGGAAUCGGGAUUAGGGUUACAGUAAUCGGGAUAAGGGUAACAGGAAUCGGGAUUUGGGUUACAGUAAUCGGGAUUAGGGUUACAGUAAUCAGGAUAAGGGUAACAGGAAUCGGGAUUUGGGUUACAAUAAUCGGGAUUAGGGUUACAGUAAUCGGGAUUAGGGUAACAGGAAUCGGGAUUAGGGUUACAGUAAUCGGGAUUGGGUUACAGAAAUCGGGAUUUAGGGGUAGAAACCAAACAUGCUAUUUUAAUAUGCAUUCUUAUUGUUGUUAUGGCGACAAAAGCCUUUUUUUGGGUAGAUCCUAACCCUUAAAUACUUGUCACUUAUUGUAGAUAAGCCUCACCUCCCAAUUUUUAUAGUUGUACCCUAAUAAUUUACCCCUAUUCCUUACUAUGGAGUUGGGCCUACGACACACGUGCUAUUGCAGAUACGGUGACAACACUCCCCGUUCAGUGGCUGGUCGAGUGUUUGGCGUUGUCUGGAUUUUAGUCGGUCUUGUUGUCAUCUCCAUGUAAACCGCCACCAUCACCAACGCAUUCUCUAUCGUUUCAAAUCCAGUAUUCAACAUUCACGGCAAAGCCGUAAAGCGACACAACUCUAUGUACAAUUUACUUACUGGAAUCUCUUCUUUCAUAGGUAAAAGCCAGCCUUCAAAAUAUGAGAAAAAUGCAUUUCAAAUCUAGUUUUCAACAAUCACGAUCAAUCAAUCAAGGGAUCUAGGGGGCUUAAUAGGGUGGCUAGACAUCCCCCUUUCUCUAACAUCUUGGUAUAUCCUUUAUCAUUAGCCACCCCCUGUACGGAAAUUCAUAGAACACCCUAUGUAAUAGCCACCCCCUUUUAAAUUGCAUCUGCCACGGCACCACUGUAAUUUUACUGUAGCAGGGAGUCUGUGUUCACUAGAAUUUCAGGGUUUUAAAAAAGAAACUUAUUCUAUACAUUAUCAAGAGUACUGAAAAUAAACUAAGAAUUUUACAUGAUAGCCGAUGGUAUUUGAGGGGAAAUCUGAGUUUCGCAGGGUGGAAAAGUAAUGAACUCUCCUAGUAAAUGAGUGGGUUUAUUUGUGAUCCUUUUUUUUUCAAAGCUUAGAAAUGACAUACAUACACGGAAGCCAUCUAUCAAGGAUCCAAACCAAUAAGCAUUUACUAUGGAAACUAUAAACUAACCACCAAAAACAUGUUGACGCCAAUACCUCUUAUAACUACCAUCAUCAUCAUCAUAAACGACCGACGUUCAACGCCACAACCUACGAUUGCUUUACAUUUAUCAUCAGCAGCAACAUCAACAUCAACGUCAUCGUUAUCAUCACCAUCACCAUCACCAUCACCAUCACCAUCACCAUCACCAUCACCACCACCACCACCACCACAAUCAUCAUUAUCGUCGUCGUCAUCGUCGUCGUCGUCGUCAUCACCCUCAUCGUUAUUAUCGCCAUCAUUGUACCACCAUGUUGCUAUAAAUACAUUGGACGUGUAGAGGACAGGAGAAAGUAGUUUCCAGUAGCACCAGUUGCUGAAUAGCUUCUCUUAAUGAUUACACUUCUCUUGUUAAGUAGAUUUUUGAAGCUCGCAUCACAUCAUUUUUUAAACCAUCUUCUAGACUACUCUACCUUCUCGGAAGCUCACAAUGCUCUCAAGAAUAACGCUGUGAACGCAAUCUUCAUCGACAAACUGCAAGGGGGUAUCACAUCAGCAAGCUUGAUGAUGCGGAUCUUCGUGUCGUGGCUUCUGUUGAGUAUCCACAACUGUUAUUCAAGAUAGCAGAUUUUGAAAAGGAAACUGAAUUUCCAAAUAAUCCGAAAUGCGUCGACCAUGAGCUUCAUGAGCCAUCAGUCAUCUCAUUGGUCAGAGGAUACGUGCCUCCAGGACAGAUUACCUGUAGAAGUAUCACGCCGCCUCUGACAGCAUCAGUGUUGUGUCCAUCGGGUCCAAACUGCUCCAGGACACCCUCAUCGUCCUAACUAGUGUGUUUGUCGCGCUAGCAGUCAUCAGCCUGAUUGGACAGCGGCUUUACGCGAGAAAACAAAACAACUUCAUCGAAACACUGCCAGGUUUGUUCCUUCUUUAGGGGGAUUGGUCCAUAAAGUGGGUUGAGAGUAUGGGGAGGGGGGGAUGUUACCUUGAUUUGACAUAGAGCACCGC